GGGGGCUCGGGGCUCCCCCACCCCCACCUUGCCUCUCUUCAUCUCAUGUCUGAUAGGGAGGCUGGAGGGUGACUGCAAGGUCACCGAAGCUUAUGUUUACUUCCAUAGGCUAUUUGGAGAAAUAGAAAAGAAAACCCAAGUUGAAUUCAGAAAGUCGAGUUUUUAGGGUGCUCUUUUAUCAGUGCAUGUGCAAAGUCAUUUCAGUCAUGUCCGACUCUUUGCCAACCUCUGGACUAUAGCCCACCAGGCUCCUCUGGCCACGGGAUUCUCCAGAAAACAAAAGGACAGGCCACCGCCGGGGGACCUGCCGUCAUGUCUCUGCUUCCCAGAAUGAAAGAUUACAGUCCUGAGUGAGCAGCCGGAGGCCCCGUAGAGAGCUGAGUCCAGCGGUGUACACCAUCGGGCACACAGUGGGUGUCAUGCUUUAUGAGUAUAAAGCCAUCAAGGAGGGUAAUAAAA